AGUGAAGUGUCUGACUUAAGUAAUAAAUUGUAAAUUUAUUCAAAAGAUUUAAAUUAAUCUUCUUUACUA
rnacentral:tRNA from 1 species